CCUUAAAAAGCUUAUGUGACAAAAAAAAAAUAUUUUUUAAUUAUUAAAUAAACAACUCUUAUUAAACAAAGGGCAAACCAGUCAAAACAUAAAUUAACAUUUCUAAUAUUCCAUUUUCAAUUCCAUUUUCUCUUUCUCAUCUUCUUCACUGUUGUUCUUCAACUUCACCGCCGGGUUUAUCGAGAGUAUUUCGCCGGAGGAUCUUCAGCCGAUUGUGAAGGAGUAUUUCGCCGGCGUACACACACUCUUCUCAAUCUCGAUUUUUGAGAUUUCAGUAGACCCCUGAAACAAAUCCAAUAAACCAAUAAACCAUGAAACACAUGAAGAUCAAUAAACACAUACAGAUCAACCCCUGUUCAAAAACACAUGAAACCUGAAACCAUGAAACACAUGAAGAUCCCAAAUCUGAUCAUGGGCAAUAAACCAUGAAACCAGAUUGGGAAUGCUCCGGUAGAACUAAAACACCCCCAAAUCAGACAAAGGGGGAAACAACAGUAAUAACUAAAUCAGACAUAACAACAAACAAAUUUACUACCAUCAAUAAACUGAACAUAAAAAGAUUAAGCAAUAACCCCUGUUCAGAAACACAAAUAAUAGUACCAUUCACAGUCAGAUCUAUCUUCCAAACCCCAAAUAUUAUUAGCCAACAAGAUCCGUAACCCCAAACCAGAGGCCCAAAUCAAGUCUUCCACACCAGAUCUAGGAUCUUUCAGAUCCGUAACCCCAAACCAGAGGCCCAAAUCAGAUCCGUAAGCUCGAAUUCGUCGACGGCGAUGGUGACUUGCAGCUUGAAUUCGUCGUUUCAGAACAAAUCUGCAAUUUUCGAUGGUGAAAAUGUGAAUUAUUGAUGAAUUUAUUGAGGAAUCGCCAGAUCGGUUGAGGAAGAGGAGAUGUAAUUUUCGGCUGGGUUAGAUUGUAUAUGAUUAAUUUGAU
rnacentral:lncRNA from 1 species